GACGAACGCUGGCGGCGUGCUUAACACAUGCAAGUCGAACGAUGAUCCGGGUGCUUGCACCUGGGGAUUAGUGGCGAACGGGUGAGUAACACGUGAGUAACCUGCCCUGGACUCUGGGAUAGCCCCGAGAAAUCGGAGCUAAUACCGGAUAGGACCUUUCCUCGCAUGAGGUGGGGUGGAAAGUUUUUUCGGUUUGGGAUGGACUCGCGGCCUAGCAGCUUGUUGGUGAGGUAAUGGCUCACCAAGGCGUCGACGGGGAGCCGGCCUGAGAGGGUGGCCGGACACACUGUGACCGGGACACGGCACAGACACCUACGGGAGGCAGCAGUGGGGAAGAUGGGACAAGGGGGGCAAGCCGGAUGCAGCAACGCCGCGUGCGGGAUGACGGCCUUCUGGUUGUAAACCGCUUUUAGUAGGGAAGAAGCCUCUUGGGGUGACGGUACCUGCAGAAAAAGGACCGGUUAACUACGUGCCAGCAGCCGCCGUAAUAC
rnacentral:rRNA from 1 species